rnacentral:piRNA from 1 species
CGGUUAGGUACUGAUGAGGAUUAAC